GAUGAACGCUGGCGGCGUGCCUAAUACAUGCAAGUCGAGCGAACAGACGAGGAGCUUGCUCCUCUGACGUUAGCGGCGGACGGGUGAGUAACACGUGGAUAACCUACCUAUAAGACUGGGAUAACUUCGGGAAACCGGAGCUAAUACCGGAUAAUAUAUUGAACCGCAUGGUUCAAUAGUGAAAGACGGUUUUGCUGUCACUUAUAGAUGGAUCCGCGCCGCAUUAGCUAGUUGGUAAGGUAACGGCUUACCAAGGCAACGAUGCGUAGCCGACCUGAGAGGGUGAUCGGCCACACUGGAAAUGAGACACGGUCCAGACUCCUACGGGAGGCAGCAGUAGGGAAUCUUCAGCAGAGUGCGAGAGCCUGACGGAGCAACGCCGCGUGAGUGAUGCAGGUCUUCGGAUCGUAAAACUCUGUUAUUAGGGAAGAACAAAUGUGUAAGUAACUAUGAACGUCUUGACGGUACCUAAUCAGAAAGCCACGGCUAAAUACGUG
rnacentral:rRNA from 1 species